ACAUCAUCUCUCUUUCUUCCUCUAAAAAAACAUGCCAUAUCAAGGAAGAUAUUCUUCUCUUCAUGGCUCAAUCCGUCUAGAGUUAAACUGAGCUGCUUAGCAAUUUUUUCAUAUCCAGUAUCUUUGAGUCUAUCUAAUGCACUUCUCCACUAAGUAAUGCCUCGCUUGUAGAGAAAAGAACCCAGGACCUUAAGAGCUAAAGGUAAGCCUUUAGCAUAAUCUACUACAGAUUUGGAGAGUUCCAAAAACUCUUUAUCAGGAGUUUGUUUCUGAAAAGCGUGCCAACUAAAAACUUCAAUAGCCUCGUCUUUAGCCAAUUCAGGAACAGAAUAUAACUGGUCAUGACUACGUAGUAAAUCUUGGUUUCUAGUUGUUGUAAUGAUUAUACUUCCUUCACCAAACCAGUCAUGAUUUCCAACUAAAUAUUCCAAUUGGUGUUCAUCAUCGACAUCAUCAAAAACAAUUAAAACUUUCCAGUGGCAAAGCCUUCUUUUUAUCAUGUCAGCUCCUUCAUAAAAACUUGC